UACGAAGGGGGCUAGCGUUGCUCGGAAUCACUGGGCGUAAAGCGCACGUAGGCGGCUUUUUAAGUCAGGGGUGAAAUCCUGGAGCUCAACUCCAGAACUGCCUUUGAUACUGAGAAGCUUGAGUCCGGGAGAGGUGAGUGGAACUGCGAGUGUAGAGGUGAAAUUCGUAGAUAUUCGCAAGAACACCAGUGGCGAAGGCGGCUCACUGGCCCGGUACUGACGCUGAGGUGCGAAAGCGUGGGGAGCAAACGGGG
rnacentral:rRNA from 1 species